AGUGAACGCUGGCGGUAGGCCUAACACAUGCAAGUCGAACGGCAGCACAGUAAGAGCUUGCUCUUACGGGUGGCGAGUGGCGGACGGGUGAGGAAUACAUCGGAAUCUACUUUUUCGUGGGGGAUAACGUAGGGAAACUUACGCUAAUACCGCAUACGACCUACGGGUGAAAGCAGGGGAUCUUCUGACCUUGCGCGAUUGAAUGAGCCGAUGUCGGAUUAGCUAGUUGGCGGGGUAAAGGCCCACCAAGGCGACGAUCCGUAGCUGGUCUGAGAGGAUGAUCAGCCACACUGGAACUGAGACACGGUCCAGACUCCCACGGGAGGCAGCAGUGGGGAAUAUUGGACAAUGGGCGCAAGCCUGAUCCAGCCAUACCGCGUGGGUGAAGAAGGCCUUCGGGUUGUAAAGCCCUUUUGUUGGGAAAGAAAAGCAGCAGGUUAAUACCCCGCUGUUCUGACGGUACCCAAAGAAUAAGCACCGGCUAACUUCGUG
rnacentral:rRNA from 1 species